GACGACGCUGGCGGCGUGCCUAACACAUGCAAGUCGAACGGUAACAGGACUUCGGUCGCUGACGAGUGGCGCACGGGUGAGUAACGCGUGGAUAUCUGCCUAUCAGUGGGGGACAACUACGGGAAACCGUAGCUAAUACCGCAUACGCUGUACGCAGGAAAGCGGGGGAUCUUCGGACCUCGCGCUGAUAGAUGAGUCCGCGUCUGAUUAGCUUGUUGGUGGGGUAAUGGCCUACCAAGGCGAUGAUCAGUAACUGGUUUGAGAGGAUGAUCAGUCACACUGGAACUGAGUCACGGUCCAGCCUCCUACGGGAGGCAGCAGUGGGGAAUAUUGCACAAUGGGCGAAAGCCUGAUGCAGCGACGCCGCGUGCGGGAAGAAGGCCUUCGGGUUGUAAACCGCUUUCAAUUGGGAAGAAGGGAUGAGGGUUAAUACCCCUCUGACUUGACGGUACCUUUAGAAGAAGCACCGGCUAAUUUCGUGCCAGCAGCCGCGGUAAUAC
rnacentral:rRNA from 1 species